GCCAAUGUAGCUCAGUGGUAGAGCAACGGUUUCGUAAACCGUAGGUCGGUGGUUCAAUCCCACUCAUUGGCUCCA
rnacentral:tRNA from 1 species